ensembl:lncRNA
CGGAAAAAUCCAUUAAGCUCAGAUUCAGCCUCACCAACGCGAGCAAAACAGCUUUUAUUAACGCCUUAGCUGCGAUGGGGGAGAACUCCAGGCUGUCAGCUGUGACUGCAGGAAGGCUCUGGGUGCUGUGCUCAGGAUGCAUAAUAAAAAAGGAUGAGGAAUUGCACGUCAACAUGUCAGUGGAAAGUGAGGACACGAGAUAUUGUUUACCAACGUUGUGCUUCAGUCAGGAUGGAAAAGCUGUCAAAUGGGAAGGAUGGAACAGAGCUUGAGUUUCUCUCUGGUUGGGCUUUCCUGUCCCUCCAUGAUUUCUUUUUUUUCCCCUUCUUUCAUGCUGGGCAGCACUGGGUUGCUCUGGUUGUGUUUGGCAGAGGCCAUAGGAGCCCCAUUAUGACUCCUAGUUCUGUGCCACCUCCUGUGCCAGCUGUGCUGUGACCUUGCUGUGACCAUCCCACGCCAUGCAUGUCCCCUCUGCCACACAGCCACCAGACGGGAUGCUGAGCAUAGCCCCAGUUUAAUCAGGGAUGCAAGGAGACAGCAUCCUCACACCUUGCAGAAGCUGCGAUCUCCUGAUCUUCUCUGCCAGAAAUGCAGCAGGAGCAGAAAGAAAGCAUCACUCGCUGCUGGGCAGCAGCUUUCUCUAUCAUCAGCCUUGCUGGCCUUCCACCUCUGCGUGGGCUUCAUUUAGCAGGAACAAAAAUCACCCCCUGGUUUGUAGGAUUUUCCUGGAAAGAAGAUUCCCAGCACAUAAGAGAGUUUACAGAGCCUACAGAGAAGCUCUGAGGCUUCUUCAAAAAAAUUCCAUGCAGGCUGGUAAGUUUUCUCCUAUGGCUAAUGGAACUCAAUGGAAUCUGUUCAACCACAGGAUGUGCAGCACAGCUCUGUGCUGCUGCUGCUCCUUUCCCAGCUCUCUGAGCACUGGCUUCAGACCCACACAUGCAAUUUCUCAGAGCCUUUAGUGUGAGUGAGACAACUUUACAGACAAUUCAAUGCCUUCUUGCACAGGAAAAAAAUAUACAUUCCUUUUACUUUGAGUGAAAGAAAGGCUUAAAAUUCAAAGAAAGGAAAUGCAGUGAUUCUAAAUCAAUAGAGGGAAAUAUACAGUAAAAUCUUUAAUAUGUUCAUAGAAUCACAGAAUGCUUUGGGUUGGAAGGGACCUUUAGGAUGUAGUUCCAACCCCACUGCUAUAGCAGGGACACCUCCCUCUAGCCCAUGUUUCUCACAGCCCCAUCCAGCCUGACUUUCAGUGCUGCCAAAGAGGGAGCAACCACAGCCUCGCUGGGCAACCUGUACCAGCAUCUCACCACCCUCACAGUAAAGAAUUUGUUCCUAAUAUCUAGUCUAAAUCUAUCCUCUUCCAGUUUAAAGCCAUUUCCCUUUGUCCUGUCACUACCUGCCCUUAUAGAAAGUCCCUCCCCAGCUUUCCAGUUCUUUUUACCUUUUCCAGGUCCUGAAAGGCCUCUGUAAGUUCCCCCAUAGAGCCUUUUCUUCUCUAGCUGAAGAGCUCCAGCUCUCUUAGCCUGUCCUAGUAAUGCUGUGCAUGCUGUGCAAUAACAAGAGCCCUCAUGCUUUAUAAAUACAGAUGCUUAACACACAUGUAGCCUGCCCUUCACUAUCCAUAAGCCACUCGAAAUGUGAAUAGCUGAGCAGGUCUGAAGCUGUCUCUUGUGUGUGUUUGUGCUACAGGGAGAGAUGUUUUGAACGGAGAAUGAUGCUGAGAAGAUGCACCAUCAGCAUCUUGGACCUAAGCAUCCCAGAGGCUCCACAGUAGAGAGAUCUGUGCCAGCUCUGCAUGAACCUGUCCCAUACUUAACAGUAGGAGCAGCCAUUCCCAUUGCUCUGGGUAACACAUGUUCCCUCUCAUGCUGCUGGUAGCACUGAGGUUGCCUGGAACUGGGGAACAAUUAACAGUAAGUGACUGGGAAGUGAGGGGUUGGACCCUCUCUGAGAGAGAGAUCUGCAGAAACUUCUGCAGGGCUGGGAGAUCUGCAGAAUUAUGCUCUUAACCACCUUAGCUGUCCCUCUGGGGCUUGCAAGUUUUCCUUGGGGUAUAGCCAAGUAUUUCCAUGGAUGCUGAAAUGUGGCUGAUGGAAAUCCAUAACUGACACACUUUGUUAAAGGAUGUCCAGGGACACGCAUGGGAAGAAGAAGCUAGGCUGAUUGCAAACACCUCGUUUCCUUCAGAAAUCAGCCUAGAAUUCUCCCGGCACAUACAGGCUGACUGUGAAGAGCUCAGGGUGUUUGCAGGGCUGUUUGUUAGCUGUGGGCUGGCAGUACAUGCUAUCAGAGCAUCUUUGUAAGGCCACAGACCUCCUCUACCCGACAAGAGGUACCACCACCGCCUUGUACUCUGAUGUGUGAUGCUUUAUUUCCAUACUCCACAGAAACACAGAAAUUGGAUGUUUAGCUGACUGACAACAGCAAGUUGUGAUAUACUGCACUUUUCAAGUGUUUAUUCCCCUGGCCUUGUCUACAAGCCAUGAAGGUACUGAUCUGAACGCAUUUCUCCCUUUGCUUGCCUGAGGCUCCCAUUCCUCCUUCAAUGUACUUUUUCAAAUUUCUUUUGAGAAACAAUACUUUCAAAUAAGCUAAUAGAGAAUAUAUAAUGAAAUAUGAGAAGAAUUCUGUGGAACCCAAUGUUUCGUUGUGUUCCCAGUUCACCUCCUUGCCUCAGGUUCCCUUUGUUCCCCCCUCCAUCCACCCACCAGCCUUCCCGUUUGUUCUUUUUCCUUUUGACUGCCCACUUUCACAUUCGUUUUGGCUUUCCUUCAGUCUUUUAAUGCUGCAUCUAUUCCUUGAAUUUACUAUAGUUUGACAUUCUGUUUCAUGAGUCACCACUGGGGACAGAGUUUGAAGGAGAUCAGAUUGCACAAAAGUAGUUCUUACGACUGCCAAAAACUAAUUUGAAUUCGUGCUCUUUAUUCCCUGAAUAAACUUUGUGGAUUCUUUUCUCUAUGCA